CCAGACAGCCAGGAUGUUGGCUUAGAAGCAGCCAUCAUUUAAAGAAAGCGUAAUAGCUCACUGGUCGAGUCGGCCUGCGCGGAAGAUGUAACGGGGCUAAACCAUGCACCGAAGCUGCGGCAGCGACACUUAUGUGUUGUUGGGUAGGGGAGCGUUCUGUAAGCCUGUGAAGGUGUACUGUGAGGUAUGCUGGAGGUAUCAGAAGUGCGAAUGCUGACAUAAGUAACGAUAAAGCGGGUGAAAAGCCCGCUCGCCGGAAGACCAAGGGUUCCUGUCCAACGUUAAUCGGGGCAGGGUGAGUCGACCCCUAAGG
rnacentral:rRNA from 1 species